UGGGGAAUAUUGGACAAUGGGCGCAAGCCUGAUCCAGCCAUGCCGCGUGAGUGAUGAAGGCCUUAGGGUUGUAAAGCUCUUUCACCGGUGAAGAUAAUGACGGUAACCGGAGAAGAAGCCCCGGCUAACUUCGUGCCAGCAGCCGCGGUAAUACGAAGGGGGCUAGCGUUGUUCGGAAUUACUGGGCGUAAAGCGCAUGUAGGCGGACAUUUAAGUCAGGGGUGAAAUCCCGGGGCUCAACCUCGGAACUGCCUUUGAUACUGGGUGUCUAGAGUGUGGAAGAGGUAAGUGGAAUUCCGAGUGUAGAGGUGAAAUUCGUAGAUAUUCGGAGGAACACCAGUGGCGAAGGCGGCUUACUGGUCCAUUACUGACGCUGAGGUGCGAAAGCGUGGGGAGCAAACAGG
rnacentral:rRNA from 1 species